rnacentral:tRNA from 1 species
AUAUAUUUGGUGUAAGAUGCAUAUAAAUUUUUGAUAUUUGAGGGAUUAGUUUGAUUCUAAUAGUAUAUA